GAGAGAGAGAUAUAAAUAUGGAAAGGGAAAAUACUGGAUUAAAUCCUGAAGUACUGAAUUGGAAUUGAGGAUCUCAAUGUGAACUCAGCUUU